AUUGCGUGUGGACACUGAAACAGCGCAAUGAUUGACAGGAUGACAGAGACAAGAGCGCAAAAGAACGUUUGUUAAUAAAAAAUAAUUUGAGCGUUCAAUGUAAGUGAGUUUGUCUUUGUUUUACUUUAAUGAUGUUUUCAUAAAAUGUGAACCACAAACUAAAAAUGCUUAAAGCUAUGGAAAAUCCAAAGAUUUUUUAUUCAUUUGCGUUAUAAUAUCUUUUAUCCAUCUUAUUUCGUUUUUUCAAUAAUAUUUUAAUUAUAAAUGCACAGUAAAGGUAUGUUUAACGUAGGCUAAUUUUAUUGUUGCGUUUUUAUUAAAUAUUAAUGAACCACAAACUAAGCAUUUGUUUUAAAGUAGGCCUAAGUGGGAAAAGAACAAAAAAAAUACAACGCGAGUAUAUCAUGUGAUACGUCUUAUUCGUCUUAUUCUGAUAAUAAUAAAUAAUGUUAAUAAUACUUUUUGUUGAAGGAAAGGGAAUAAUCUAAAUGUAUAACUUUAAAGAUCAAAAUAAGUUUAUUUCCUCAACAGCACAUCUCUAAUGGGCUACAACUCGAUUGUUACUUAUAUUUGGGAUAUUUAAAGACGUUUUAUUGUUUAAAACUUGACAAGUUUUUUUGUUAAAUGUUUUAAAUGUCAAAAUUCUAGACUACAUAAGUGAAACUCACUUUUCAAAGAAUACAAUAAAUAGCCUUAUUUGAAGUCUUAUUUAGUUAUUAUAAGCAAAAGAUCAAUUUAAAAACUGUUUAGCCUGUUAUCCGAUUAAUAAAAAAAACAAUCGUCCAAUUAUACGGUUAUUAAAAUAAUCGUUAGUUUCUGCCCUAAUUUAUUGUGUAUGUCUGAACAUAAACUUUAUGUACUUUUACUACUUUUUGCUCCUUUGUUUCAUUAUUUUUCAGAUUGUUAUUUAUCUUUUCAGAAUUGUGUAUCUGUUACACUGUGAAGCAGUUGGAAAAGUGUUUCUGUAAAAGGAAACCUUUAUGCUUCUGUUAUAGAUGCAAUCUGAUUGUCACCUUCACAUGAUGUAAAAUAGAAUGACUCCAAAGGUAAUAUACAACUUGUCUGCGGAUUUUUUAUUUGUUGUGUGUUUUCUAUAUUGGGGUGGCCGAUGGGGGGGCGCCAAUACUGAUCUUGCAUACCCCUCAGAAAAUGUGCAGUUGCGCCCCUGUGGAUUAGUCAGAAAGGUGAAGCUCCAAAUAGGACAAAGAAAUUUAGGAAAGAAAGGUGAAUGGUUGGUGCAAACUUCUGUUCUUGAGCGUCCAGUUCAAAAAUUAGUGAUAAUAGUUGAGAAUAAUUAUUAAACUAUGAUUAAGAUGGAUGCAUUAACAUAUAAAACAAUGUUGUUCAGAAGUUCGGAAUGUGACAGUUGUAUGAAUGUUUUGGAGUGUUUAUGAAAGUGACAGCUUGUAGAAAAUUUACAAGAUUUGAAUGAUUUGAUUAAAAUAUUGCUGACAGAAAUCUUGGUAAUUUUUGAUGGCAGUGUAGCUGUCACUGAAUUAAAGUGUUUGUGUUUAAAUUUCAGUUACUUUUAUGAAAGCAUUUUGUGGUGAAUGUAUUUUGUAAUAUAUAUUGUUAAAUAUGUGUUUGGUGAUGUAAUGUUAAGCCAUAAUAAUUUUGGUAAAGGUGACACCUACAGGUCAGCGAAUUUAAUGUCAGUUUGAGCAUGUCACGUGUUAGGACCUUGUGACUUUAGAACCACGAGGAGAAAAGCAUGGAUUCAGUGUCUGACUUAAAUAGGAAUAUUUGAAAAUUAAGCACUAAUGUCUCCUGAAAUUCUGAUUGGAUGAUGCACACGGUCAUCAUGCAGAAAAAGGUCUUUUUUUUCCCUGGAAGGGUUCAGGUAACGUUCCGUAAGGGACCGCUGGGAUAUCUUCUGCAGGAUCCAACUGACCAGGCCAGGGCGAUAAAAAACAACCCAUCUUUGCAGGACAAGUCGGCACCAAUUAAGGUGGAGCUUGUCAGACAAAAUGCUCUGAAUGUGGUCCAUCAAAGAGGAGGUGAUGCAUCAGACCAAAAAUAAGUUUUUGGAGAGUACAUCCUGCAGUUUGGAAAAUACAAGGGGGAGUCCUUCCGGUGGCUCCUUGAAAAUGAUGUGGGGUACACCAUCAUCUACCUGAUAAAGAACCUUCAGCAGGAAGAGGUUGCAGGAGUUAUGAUGACUGAGUGGCACAGCAAGAGCAGCCUGAUCUCCUUUGUGAAUUACGCCCUGCUUUGAGGAAAUCCAGUCUCUUUUAAGAUAUGCAUCUAAAACUCCAGCUGCACCAGCGGCCUCAUCGGAGGAUGACCAGCUGCUUGGUUUCAGCACUCGUGCCAAGAGUACAUGGAGGGAGAUUUGGGACAGCAGAGCUGAUGGUUACGCUUCCUUUAUAAUGGGGGCAAAAUGUGUCUGAAGGACACGGAUGUAUAAACUGCAACAAUACCUGCUGAAGCAGCAGCAGUCUGCCCGUCUGCGUGUCCCUGCCUGCCUCAAGUGCCACAUCUGAGCCCACAGAGAUGGAUGAAGAUGCUGAGCUGGAGAGUGCAUUGCUGAACAUCACCCCCUCUAAGCUGCUGGUGCAA